rnacentral:rRNA from 1 species
GACGAACGCUGGCGGCGUGCCUAAUACAUGCAAGUAGGACGAAGUUUCGAACGGGUGAGUAACGCGUAGGUACCUGCCUAUUUAAGAGGGAUAACUAUUCGCAACGAUAGCUAAUACCUAAUAACAGUAAAUAGACAUGCGUUGUAUAAGCUAGUAGGUAGGUUAAUGGUCUACCUAGGCGACGAUACAUAGCAGACCUCAGAGGGUGAUCGGACACACUGCGACUGAGACACGGCCCAGACUCCUACGGGAGGCAGCAUGAGGGAAUCUUCGGCAAUGGGGGGAACCCUGACCGAGCAACGCCGCGUGAGUGAAGAAGGUUUUCGGAUCGUAAAGCUCUGUUGUUAAGGAAGCGGUACUUAACCAGAAAGGGACGGCUAACUACGGGCCAGCAGCCGCGGUAAUUC